rnacentral:lncRNA from 1 species
UCUUUUUUUCUUCUGCAUGGCGCUCUCUCAAAAUUUCCCCCACCAAUUAAAUCUCGUAUAUCCCUUUCUGUUUUCAUUAAGAUCGUUACCGUUGAGGGAGUUGCGGAAACCCUAAUUAACAGAUUCCAAACUCUGCCGUGAUCAUGGCAACUUCGGCUGAUUCUCGGGCUGCCAACAACUGCACGGGAAGAGAUAGAGAUGUGGUUAACUUUGCAAGAAUUUACUUAAUGGCGUCAGUCAAUUUUAAUAAUUGUGUGAACUUGACAUUUUCAUAAGUAAGCCUUGCUUGUCGGUGUGUAUAGAAAAUUUGGUUCCCUUCCUUGUCUUGCAUUUGCACACAUUUACCUACCAACAUUGAUUUUUGUAAGAGGGAUGAGGAAAGAGGAGAAAGAUAAAGGUAAUGAAUGAAGAAAGAAACAGGAAAGUAGUGAAGUGGACUAGAGGAGGAAGAAGUCUAGCAAUCAAUCUCCCACUGGUUGGUAAUGGGAAGAGUAAUAACACAUAGGCUUUGUUUAGACGUUGAAUGAAAGAUUUGCAACCAUCUCUACUUUUGUUUUUUUUCCCUCGUUUUUAAAGUCUCUGCUUGUUUCUGAAAUCACCAAGGAUAUAGUUCUAUUAGUGGUUAAACCAUCUCCAACCCUGAGAUCAUUUUUGGGGAUUUUCAGGUUUUUUUUUAUUAUUUUAUUUUUUUUUGCAUUGUG